rnacentral:rRNA from 1 species
UACGAGUUUGAUCAUGGCUCAGGACGAACGCUGGCGGCGUGCCUAAUACAUGCAAGUCGAGCGGACCAAAGGGAGCUUGCUCCUGGAGGUUAGCGGCGAACGGGUGAGUAACACGUGGGCAACCUGCCUGUAAGACUGGGAUAACAUCGAGAAAUCGGUGCUAAUACCGGAUAAUAAAAAGAACUGCAUGGUUCUUUUUUGAAAGAUGGUUUCGGCUAUCACUUACAGAUGGGCCCGCGGCGCAUUAGCUAGUUGGUGAGGUAACGGCUCACCAAGGCGACGAUGCGUAGCCGACCUGAGAGGGUGAUCGGCCACACUGGGACUGAGACACGGCCCAGACUCCUACGGGAGGCAGCAGUAGGGAAUCUUCCGCAAUGGACGAAAGUCUGACGGAGCAACGCCGCGUGAGUGAUGAAGGUUUUCGGAUCGUAAAACUCUGUUGUUAGGGAAGAACAAGUGCCGUUCGAAAGGGCGGCACCUUGACGGUACCUAACGAGAAAGCCACGGCUAACUACGUG